GGAGGCAGCAGUAGGGAAUCUUCCGCAAUGGACGAAAGUCUGACGGAGCAACGCCGCGUGAACGAAGAAGGCCUUCGGGUCGUAAAGUUCUGUUGUUAGGGAAGAACAAGUACCAGAGUAACUGCUGGUACCUUGACGGUACCUAACCAGAAAGCCACGGCUAACUACGUGCCAGCAGCCGCGGUAAUACGUAGGUGGCAAGCGUUGUCCGGAAUUAUUGGGCGUAAAGCGCGCGCAGGUGGUUCCUUAAGUCUGAUGUGAAAGCCCACGGCUCAACCGUGGAGGGUCAUUGGAAACUGGGGAACUUGAGUGCAGAAGAGGAAAGUGGAAUUCCAAGUGUAGCGGUGAAAUGCGUAGAGAUUUGGAGAACACCAGUGGCGAAGGCGACUUUCUGGUCUGUAACUGACACUGAGGCGCGAAAGCGUGGGGAGCAAACAGGAUUAGAUCCCCUGGUAGUCCACGCCGUAAACGAUGAGUGCUAAGUUUAGAGGUUUCCGCCCUUUAGUGCUGCAGCUAACGCAUUAAGCACUCCGCCUGGGGGAGUACGGCCGCAAGGCUGAAACUCAAAGGAAUUGACGGGGGGCCCGCACAAGCGGUGGAGCAUGUGGUUUAAUUCGAAGCAACGCGAAGAACCUUACCAGGUCUUGACAUCCUCUGACAACCCUAGAGAUAGGGCUUUCCCCUUCGGGGGACAGAGUGACAGGUGGUGCAUGGUUGUCGUCAGCUCGUGUCGUGAGAUGUUGGGUUAAGUCCCGCAACGAGCGCAACCCUUGAUCUUAGUUGCCAGCAUUCAGUUGGGCACUCUAAGGUGACUGCCGGUGACAAACCGGAGGAAGGUGGGGAUGACGUCAAAUCAUCAUGCCCCUUAUGACCUGGGCUACACACGUGCUACAAUGGAUGGUACAAAGGGCUGCAAACCUGCGAAGGUAAGCGAAUCCCAUAAAGCCAUUCUCAGUUCGGAUUGCAGGCUGCAACUCGCCUGCAUGAAGCCGGAAUCGCUAGUAAUCGCGGAUCAGCAUGCCGCGGUGAAUACGUUCCCGGGCCUUGUACACACCGCCCGUCACACCACGAGAGUUUGUAACACCCGAAGUCGGUGAGG
rnacentral:rRNA from 1 species